UUAAGCGACUAAGCGUACACGGUGGAUGCCCUGGCAGUCAGAGGCGAUGAAGGACGUGCUAAUCUGCGAAAAGCGUCGGUAAGGUGAUAUGAACCGUUAUAACCGGCGAUGUCCGAAUGGGGAAACCCAGUGCAAUUCGUUGCACUAUCGUUAACUGAAUACAUAGGUUAACGAGGCGAACCGGGGGAACUGAAACAUCUAAGUACCCCGAGGAAAAGAAAUCAACCGAGAUUCCCCCAGUAGCGGCGAGCGAACGGGGAGCAGCCCAGAGUCUGAAUCAGCUUGUGUGUUAGUGGAACGGUCUGGAAAGUCCGACGGUACAGGGUGAUAGUCCCGUACACCAAAAUGCACAGGCUGUGAACUCGAAGAGUAGGGCGGGACACGUGGUAUCCUGUCUGAAUAUGGGGGGACCAUCCUCCAAGGCUAAAUACUCCUGACUGACCGAUAGUGAACCAGUACCGUGAGGGAAAGGCGAAAAGAACCCCGGCGAGGGGAGUGAAAAAGAACCUGAAACCGUGUACGUACAAGCAGUGGGAGCACCUUCGGGUGUGACUGCGUACCUUUUGUAUAAUGGGUCAGCGACUUAUAUUCUGUAGCAAGGUUAACCGUAUAGGGGAGCCGCAGGGAAACCGAGUCUUAACUGGGCGUUAAGUUGCAGGGUAUAGACCCGAAACCCGGUGAUCUAGCCAUGGGCAGGUUGAAGGUUGGGUAACACUAACUGGAGGACCGAACCGACUAAUGUUGAAAAAUUAGCGGAUGACUUGUGGCUGGGGGUGAAAGGCCAAUCAAACCGGGAGAUAGCUGGUUCUCCCCGAAAGCUAUUUAGGUAGCGCCUCGUGAACUCAUCUUCGGGGGUAGAGCACUGUUUCGGCUAGGGGGUCAUCCCGACUUACCAACCCGAUGCAAACUACGAAUACCGAAGAAUGUUAUCACGGGAGACACACGGCGGGUGCUAACGUCCGUCGUGAAGAGGGAAACAACCCAGACCGCCAGCUAAGGUCCCAAAGUCAUGGUUAAGUGGGAAACGAUGUGGGAAGGCACAGACAGCCAGGAUGUUGGCUUAGAAGCAGCCAUCAUUUAAAGAAAGCGUAAUAGCUCACUGGUCGAGUCGGCCUGCGCGGAAGAUGUAACGGGGCUAAACCAUGCACCGAAGCUGCGGCAGCGACACUAUGUGUUGUUGGGUAGGGGAGCGUUCUGUAAGCCUGCGAAGGUGUGCUGUGAGGCAUGCUGGAGGUAUCAGAAGUGCGAAUGCUGACAUAAGUAACGAUAAAGCGGGUGAAAAGCCCGCUCGCCGGAAGACCAAGGGUUCCUGUCCAACGUUAAUCGGGGCAGGGUGAGUCGACCCCUAAGGCGAGGCCGAAAGGCGUAGUCGAUGGGAAACAGGUUAAUAUUCCUGUACUUGGUGUUACUGCGAAGGGGGGACGGAGAAGGCUAUGUUAGCCGGGCGACGGUUGUCCCGGUUUAAGCAUGUAGGCUGAUUGUCCAGGCAAAUCCGGAUAAUCAAGGCUGAGGUGUGAUGACGAGGCACUACGGUGCUGAAGUAACAAAUGCCCUGCUUCCAGGAAAAGCCUCUAAGCAUCAGGUAACAUCAAAUCGUACCCCAAACCGACACAGGUGGUCAGGUAGAGAAUACCAAGGCGCUUGAGAGAACUCGGGUGAAGGAACUAGGCAAAAUGGUGCCGUAACUUCGGGAGAAGGCACGCUGGUGUGUAGGUGAAGUCCCUGCGGAUGGAGCUGAGACCAGUCGAAGAUACCAGCUGGCUGCAACUGUUUAUUAAAAACACAGCACUGUGCAAACACGAAAGUGGACGUAUACGGUGUGACGCCUGCCCGGUGCCGGAAGGUUAAUUGAUGGGGUUAUCCGUAAGGAGAAGCUCUUGAUCGAAGCCCCGGUAAACGGCGGCCGUAACUAUAACGGUCCUAAGGUAGCGAAAUUCCUUGUCGGGUAAGUUCCGACCUGCACGAAUGGCGUAAUGAUGGCCAGGCUGUCUCCACCCGAGACUCAGUGAAAUUGAACUCGCUGUGAAGAUGCAGUGUACCCGCGGCAAGACGGAAAGACCCCGUGAACCUUUACUAUAGCUUGACACUGAACAUUGAGCCUUGAUGUGUAGGAUAGGUGGGAGGCUUUGAAGCGUGGACGCCAGUCUGCGUGGAGCCAACCUUGAAAUACCACCCUUUAAUGUUUGAUGUUCUAACGUUGGCCCCUGACCGGGGUUGCGGACAGUGUCUGGUGGGUAGUUUGACUGGGGCGGUCUCCUCCCAAAGCGUAACGGAGGAGCACGAAGGUUAGCUAAUCCUGGUCGGACAUCAGGAGGUUAGUGCAAUGGCAUAAGCUAGCUUGACUGCGAGCGUGACGGCGCGAGCAGGUGCGAAAGCAGGUCAUAGUGAUCCGGUGGUUCUGAAUGGAAGGGCCAUCGCUCAACGGAUAAAAGGUACUCCGGGGAUAACAGGCUGAUACCGCCCAAGAGUUCAUAUCGACGGCGGUGUUUGGCACCUCGAUGUCGGCUCAUCACAUCCUGGGGCUGAAGUAGGUCCCAAGGGUAUGGCUGUUCGCCAUUUAAAGUGGUACGCGAGCUGGGUUUAGAACGUCGUGAGACAGUUCGGUCCCUAUCUGCCGUGGGCGCUGGAGAAUUGAGGGGGGCUGCUCCUAGUACGAGAGGACCGGAGUGGACGCAUCACUGGUGUUCGGGUUGUCAUGCCAAUGGCACUGCCCGGUAGCUAAAUGCGGAAGAGAUAAGUGCUGAAAGCAUCUAAGCACGAAACUUGCCCCGAGAUGAGUUCUCCCUGAGACUUUAAGUCUCCUGAAGGAACGUUAAAGACGAUGACGUUGAUAGGCCGGGUGUGUAAGCGCAGCGAUGCGUUGAGCUAACCGGUACUAAUGAACCGUGAGGCUUAACCU
rnacentral:rRNA from 1 species